AUUGAUUGAUUGAUUUUUGUCCAGGAUAAAUGCUGAUUACUUGUACCUGAGCUCUGAAUGGCUGGGCGUAUGCUCCCCUGACGGAUUCUAUGCUUUAGUUCAACCAAAUAAAACAAAUCCAACUCUAGGAUAUUGCAGUGAUCUAUCUGGGGAACAGAUAGAAGGGUUUGCAGGAACAUAUGAAGAUAUGGAUUGUAUGUGUGCCCAGGUUAGAUCUGCAAUUUCUGCAACAGCUGAUCGGCCAGAAUGCGAGGAAAAUGGUUCUUUUCGUAAUUAUCAGUGCAGGUACUGUUAGAACCAAGGAGUAUGGAAUGUAAUGGAGAAAGAA